AAAUAUAAAAUAUUUUUCGAGCAGAUGCUUUGAAAUAUACUUAUGCAUACAACUGUAUUUUUCUUCUCAACCUGCGGUAAAUGUGUUUUGGAUUUUUUUUUUUUUUUUUUUUUUUUAAGUUGAUAGAAGUCAGCAGAGGAGCAAAAUAACCUGAUGUAAAUCACACCAAAGAUGUAAAAAUAGUAAUCAAACAAGGUUCAAUUGGACUCAGAAAGUGGCCUGUAUUGAAUGGGCAGUCAACCUAAAAGUGUGUCAAUUUCUAUACUGUAUGUGAUAGUUAUUUCCCCGCACAGUGUGCCAAUGAUUGCUGACACGCUACAGGCAUUUUUAUUCAUAAUUUAUUCACAAACUUUGCGCAAAUACUGUGCGCUCUUUACGUACCGGGGAAAAAAGCCAUACACGACAACUUCGACAAGUAUUUUUUUCCUCCGGCACAGAGACUGACCUCUCAUCAGCCAUUAAAAGAGCGCCCUAUCCCUAAACAUUAGUCAGCAGAAAGCAAGCGAUAACCGUUAGUCAGCGUUUUUUCUUCCCUUCGUUUAGGGCUACUUUAACGUUUUAAAUAUAAAUGAUAAAAAAUAUAACUAUUUUUAAAAAUUAUACAAUACUGUAUACAGUAAGUGCGUGCGUUGAGUGUAUAGAAGUGUGUGUAGUUUCAGUUUACUUUUAUUCAGGCACACGGGAAGACGACCGUGAACUUGGCUCAGUGCGGCGAGGACCCUUUUUUUGUUCAGGCACGUUGAUAUGCCACAUUUCGGCCGUUUUAAAAAUGGCCGCAAACACCUCCUUUCUGCUUUAUUCAAGCUUCCAAACUUCGUUGUUUAGCAGUUUAAUGUAUGGUUUGUGCUUCCUAUUAUAACAUUAUUGACCAGGUCUCUUUGGUCAGUUGUCAGCAUUCUACUGAAGCUAAAUCUGGUGUACUUAUCUAUUUCUCUGCCAAGUUUGUUGGUGAAUGAACCUAGCUCUUGUGAUUUCCACACAGAUAUGAAUGACUGUGAGCAAACAGACUCGUGUAUUGAGGAGAUUAACACCAAAGAGCCUCACAAAACACCUGCAUUGUGGAAUGACUGCAGAGGUAAACCCAAAAGGCUCCUGAGUGACACAACUGGCCCAGUUCCUUCCAUUUUCAGACCCACAACAGUAUUGAACAUGCUGGGCUCUCCAAGGCCUUCCUGCUCAGACCCUGUCAAUGCUGCUGCUCACCUACAUCUGCUUGGAGAAGUUUUGUGCCUGAUUGGACAUCUUCUUAAUGGGACAAAUUGUGGACGUUUGCUUUCCUGAUUUUUACAAAAGCACCAUGGGUCAAGUGAAGUCCCACUCAAUAUAAAUCGGUGUGUCUGUCCAGAAGCUUGAUUCUUCUUCUGGACUCUCUGCUGUGUGCUCUUGCUCCACUAUUUUGCCUCACCUCACAAAUACCAGAACUGCAAAGCUGCACAGAACAUAUAAUGGAUUCUACUCUGGAAAACAUCGCCUAUAUUAUGCCAGGUUUUUGAAUGAAUCUACGAGCACAAGUUCACGUUGGUACACAAUAAAUGAGUUACUUUUUGUGCACUAUUAGGUUACAGUAUUAUUUAUUGGCAGAAAACUACUUGUUGGACAUUUUGUCAAUUAAAUUCACUAUAUUGGUGUUUCAAUUGUUUAAAUGCUUGAAUUAAAGGGCAGCACAGUCUGGCA